GGGGAAUAUUGCACAAUGGGCGAAAGCCUGAUGCAGCGACGCCGCGUGCGGGAUGAAGGCCUUCGGGUUGUAAACCGCUUUUAAUUGGGAGCAAGCGAGAGUGAGUGUACCUUUUGAAUAAGCACCGGCUAACUACGUGCCAGCAGCCGCGGUAAUACGUAGGGUGCAAGCGUUAUCCGGAAUUAUUGGGCGUAAAGAGCUCGUAGGCGGUUUGUCACGCCUGGUGUGAAAGUCCAUCGCUUAACGGUGGAUCUGCCCGGGUACGGGCAGGCUAGAGUGCAGUAGGGGAGAUUGGAAUUCCCGGUGUAACGGUGGAAUGUGUAGAUAUCGGGAAGAACGACCAAUGG
rnacentral:rRNA from 1 species